rnacentral:siRNA from 1 species
UCCAUACCACGAGCCUAGUAUU